rnacentral:rRNA from 1 species
AGCCCAUUAGCUAGCUCGCACCUAAAAACGCAACAAUUCACCAUUCAUACCCCCAACUAACCUCAAUAUACCAUAGACCAAACCAUUUUUCCCCCUUAGUAUGGGAGACAGAAAAGGACACGUCGAAGCAAUAGCAAUAGUACCGCAAGGGAACGCUGAAAGAGAAAUGAAACAAACCAGUAAAGCGCAAAGAAGCAGAGUUCAACUCUCGUACCUUUUGCAUCAUGAUUUAGCAAGAAAACAUCAAGCAAAGAGCAUUUUAGUUUGAUACCCCGAAACCAAGUGAGCUACUCCAAGACAGCCUCUAAGGGCGCACCCGUCUCUGUGGCAAAAGAGUGGGAAGAUCUUCGAGUAGAGGUGACAGACCAACCGAACUUGGUUAUAGCUGGUUGCCCAGGAAAUGAAUAGGAGUUCAGCCUUUUGUCCUCUUUACACAAAUGCCGUAUAACAUUCCAAAGCAUCUAAGUAGGACAAAAGAGUUAGUCAAAGGGGGUACAGCCCCUUUGAAAAAGAUACAACUUUACCAGAAGGGUUAAGAUCAUAACACUUACUAAGGGAAUGUGUUCUAGUUGGCCUAAGAGCAGCCAUCCAAACAGAAAGCGUUAAAGCUCAAACACCUCCCCACCCCUAUUAUUCGGACCACAACAUCUUACCCCCCUAAACAUACUGAGCCUUCCCAUACCCCUAUGGGAGAGAUUAUGCUAAUAUGAGUAAUAAGAGAUCCCGCAUCUCUCCUCGCACAAGUGUACAUCGGAACGAACCAACACCGAAAAUUGACGGCCCCAAAAGAAGAGGGUAAUGAAAUAUUAUGGCCAAACCACUAGAAGACCAUUCACUAACCCAACCGUUAACCUUACACCAGAGUGCAUGCAAGGAAAGACUAAAAGAAAAAGAAGGAACUCGGCA